AUCGUUGACUGGUACCCAGUGUAGAAGUGGAUUAGAUUGAAGAAUCACGUAAUCUGUAUCUUGAGGGGCCAUCGAAAUGGAUCCUAAAACAAAUCUUCAUAUUAUCCAGUUUUUCCUUUUUGGUCGCACGAGAUGCAUUAAAUUAACCCAGUCUCUCGUAACGCGUUGGCACAUUUUCAAAAAUUUGGCACAUGUAGAGUCAAUAGUAGGAUGAAGGUGAUAAUAAUUCUUUUAAUUUCUAUCAUAUAUAUUAUACUUAAAAUAUAUAUGUAUAUAAAUAAAUUAGAUUUUUAUUGAC